UCUCUUGUCCGUAUAAAGCAGAGGAAAGUCUCGUUUACGAAGGUCAUGGUCCAAGAACGCGUUGCACACGUUUAUUUUAUUUACGAUUGCUUCAUCCAUUUGUCCGAGUGAAUGAAGUCCAAACGUUUCUAUAAAGAAUCCGAGGUUGCGAGCUCACGGAUAAACAAAACCAGUCAUACGAAAAAGGUAGACCCCCUUCAAACCGGUCUUUUCUUUAACCUAAACGAAAAAGUCAAGAGAGAAAGAGAGAGAGAGAGAGAGAGAGAACGACAGAGAGAGAAAGGAGAGGGAGAGAGAAAGAGAAAAAGAAACUUUAGUGACGCACGCCAUUCGAUACAGCUAUUCACUCGAACGCAUUCUGACGUCGAAGACGCGUUUUAAAAUAUGCGCGCACACUUCUUACGAUUAUUAUUUAUGACUCUAUAAGAAAAAUCUUAUGUCGAGUUUGGUGAAAAUUAAAUAAAAAGAAUAUCAAAAAGCCAAAAAAAAAAAAAAAGAAAAC